GAUGGCAAGAUUUUAAGGCAAAGACGACACCCAGAAAUGUUUUUCCACCCCAGGCAUCCGGUCCCAAUCAUCAUCAGUUCUUAUGUCGCAUACAUGGCGAGUCCACAACGUCUUAAAAUUGUUUCUGUAAGGUGCAGUGAACGGGAAUGUUCUGUCGUUGAUCCUCACUUUCAUGUUUUAUUGUCACACUUAAAUUUUCACGUUCAUGUGUUCACUUUUGAUGUGUAAACUGAUAAUUUAUGUGAAGUUCAUAAAGUUGUGAGUAAAAUUGGACAGUUUUAAAAUGUCUGUAAUAAAAAAUAUUUGAAUUACCUUGGGCAUCUUGUGUAAUUAAUCUUUCUAUGUAAUUUUAGCCUAAAACAGUGUAAGUACUGUAGUGUAGUUAUGCACAUCAUUUACAAAAUAGUUACGUAGGAAUAAAGACGAAUUAAGAGUAAUAAAAAUUGUAGUUUAUUAUCAAUAGCAGGAAAUCAAAAAUAAAAAUUAAGUGUAAUUUAAAUACAUUAUUAAAUUAAUAGUAUAUUUAAAAUAUAU